rnacentral:ribozyme from 14 species
AAAUAAGAGAGAGAAAGAGAGAGACAGAGAGAAACGGGAUGAAUGGAUGGAGUCAACUUUUGAUGGUACUUUUCGUCUCGUCGUCUGACAGUUUCUCUCUCUUUCUCUCUUUCUUUCUC